ensembl:ncRNA asRNA:CR44192 antisense RNA:CR44192
AGUCGGCCGAAACGGCUGGAGUUGCGUACAUCGUCGGCUUAAAGGGGGUUCGUCCAGUCCAACAGAUAUCCGUCCAUCUGUGCUGCAGUGGCUCCCUUCCGGAUUUUACAGCUCACGACGAAGCAGGUGAUCGGUUCGUUCUGCGCAUCGUUCAACGUGACAGUGACAUCCGCCGUUAUUUCCGGGAACGAAGGCUCCACAUAGAAGUUGAACUGAUACGUGACAUCCUCGUCCUUGUCGAUGGGACAGAUGGCACCGUACAGGAGAUUGCGGCACACAUCGGACACUUCGUCGGGUAGGGCAUAUGGCAGAUUCAUGCCCAAAACCUUUGCCGUUGUGGUGGCCGUAAUGCUCUUGAUAUUGUUGUUAUCUGCAAGACAUCGAUGAUGAGAUUCAAGUGGACACGGAUAUAGAUGGCCGAAACUUACUGCCCAGGAAGUGCACCUCCAUGACUGCUAUGGUUCCUUUGUACACAACGCACGGCGGUUCCUCGCAAUCCUUAAUAUUCACAUCCAGUGGAAACGGCUUAUUUUUGCCUGAAAGCGGAAAUAUGUUUUCGAAGAAUCAAAAGAGUUUUUAGCUACUUACACUGCUGGACAUUGGUGGCAUUGACUGUGGCCAGAAUUAGAGCCAAAGUUACAACGAUUCGCAGCAUUUUUCUGGAUGGAAUCUUUUUUAAUCUUACUUCAGAAGAAUACAAUAUACAUUGAGUACGCGCGCACGCAGAUGACAAUCGUGAGUGGAAUCGAUGGGGCUGGUGGAGAACCUUAAAUAGCCCCGUGUUCGAACGAUGACCAACGCCUGUAGAGAGCAGUUUAUCAAAAUCGGUGGCUAUUGCCAUUGAUACGGGGCCGCCACGCAGGUGUUACAAAAGAAAACCACUGUGGCCUGCAGGUGUUGCGCUCUGACGAAGAGCAAACAAUGCCGAUUCGAAUCAGUAAAUAACGUAAAUUUGGCUGAUAAGUAGGGAGAGGCUGAACUACAAUGUUGCCGGCUAUACCUAGUAAACAAAACAGCCAGAGGGUUUGAUCGAGCAAUCAAAUUUAAAAAAGCGGCCGAUUAAUUUCCUAUCGAUCGUGAUUGAAGACUUUGUGUCAUCGAAGACUGCACAUCUCUAACUAUGGCCGUUCAAAACAUAAAAUGUAAAC